ensembl:lncRNA
GGACAUGUCAGAUCUUUUUACAGGAGAAGUGGACAGGAAGCAAGGAGCAUCUAUUCCCUCACUGAGGAGCUCACAAGGAUUUCUGUGAUUCUGUGAUGACUGCUUACCUGUACGAUCUUCCAGAACCAUUUUACACAGCUGAGCACGGAACGCUGCUAAGAAGUUGGAUGUUUGCCUGUCUCAUCUACGAAGGGAGCAGCCAACUGCUGGUUACCUCCUUAUGUUAGUAUCUGGCAUUUGAUCAUUCAGAGAACUACCUGAAGCUCGGUUUUACUUGGAUGAUGUAUUUCUUCUAUUUUUCUGAAGAAAGCACCUUCAUUUCAUCUGUAUCUGGAACUGACAUAGAAAGCAAGUGGGAGCCCAACCUCUAUGGGCUUUGUCCCUGGAGAGCCUGAAAGGACACAUCAGAGCUGCUUCCCGAGGCUGGUGUGCAGGACUGUGUGCAGGACUUCCAGAGGAACAUCUGGAGCUCUCCACGGACCAGCCCAACCAGCAAAAGCUUACUGAAGAAGGGCAGUUUCAUCGCCUGCAUCAAGCACCCAGGAGCACAGCUGGCUGAUGCCACUGCCAGCAUCCAGGCAGACUCUUGUGAUCCCAGCCACAGCCAGCAGCCUGCAUGUAGAUUGAUUUCACUCUCAGUUUUGCAGCUCGGGCCAACUGGGAAUGUAAACCGCACUGACCAAGCAGAGUUGGGGAAGUUGCCAGCAAAUGCAGAAAAAAGGAAAGGAAGGAAGAUGUGGAAAGCAUGAGCUCAAACUGUUCACCAAAUCAUUGCACGUUUUGCACGGGACUUUGAGAACGAGGCUGCCUUAAUCCCAUUCUGCAAAGAGUCUGUGCUGAAGACCUUGGCUUGAGCUUGAGUUGUGGGAGGAAAACAGCAGGAAACACCACGCAUGAGGUAAGUUCACAGACUGGGGUGCUCCCUGCCUGCUCCCAGCAGACAUCUCUCUGCUCCCCACUUUCCCAGCACAUCUGUGUGCAGGGCAGUCACACUGCCUCCAUGCAAGCACUGCACCCCUCUCAGCCUCACCCCACUUGGAAGCAUGACUUCCAUGAGAGCAGACACUUUUAGUGUGAAAUGGAAAGGACCUGAGUGCAGAUUGAGGACAGGGAGUAUGGAGCAAGGCAUGCUGUCUCCAAAGCGAGGAAAAAAAAUACAGAUGUAGAAACAGGUGUUCAGGAUACGUCUUUCCCACCUUACAUCCCUGUCCAAGCUAAUCCACAUUUGAGGACACAAAACAGUGUAAGCAUUCCUCUUUCUCCCGAUACAACUACAUUCAUUCUUCCAUCCCACAGCUUUCAGCACCAGGCGUAUUCCAUCCACACAGAGCAUAGCUUGCAUACCUCCUCAACCACAAACACACAUCCUACUCAUAGUCUUCCAUGCUUGCAAGCACAGAGCAAGUGGAGAAUAUUGCACUUCACUUAGAUGUUGGCCAUUGCUCCAAGGUGUGUGUGGUGAGCAGGAGAUCCUCCUCGUCACUGCUGGUUCUCCUCAGCCACACUAAAUCAGACAGUCAUUGCUUCUUCUUUUUCAAAACAAAGUGAUCUGUGAAAUAAAGGGAGAAAAUGUGAUUCA